ensembl:ncRNA T19A5.9 ncRNA
AGCCUGUGUGUGUGGUAAAAGUUUCUAUUGGUUUUUUUAGACAGUGGGAGUAAAGAAAUGUGAAUCCAAGGCGAAAUAAACAGUAGCUGGAGGACAUAACACAGAGGGGGCAAGGGGGAGGGAGAAGCUGAAGGAAGAAGAUGAAGGUGGCCGUAGAAUGAAGCGUCGCGACUAUCUAAGAGAGAAUAAGACGGUGUAGAA